rnacentral:lncRNA from 1 species
GCAUACCUUUGAGGUCGAUAUCUCUUGGCUCAGGUUGGUCGCCAAUUCGAGCGGAGCAUGAUAUUCCUAUGAAGAAAGCAAUUUAGUUCCUCCAUCUCAAAUUUUGCACAUGACCUCAACAAUCCCAUUCUAUGCUAAGCUAUUAUGUCACAUCCUUAAAUUUGUUAUAGUACAUCAAUUAGACUGAGUUUUUUAAGAUAUCAUUGGAGCAAGAAGGUAAUGUGAAAAUCACCAUAGAGAAAACUCUCUCCUCUCGCUCUCUUUUGAUAUUCUUUCUUCCUUUAUAUUUCUCUAAAAUAUUAUUUAAUUUAAGCAUCGAAGGAUCCAACUAGAGCUACUCUAGCAAGCUCUUAUCCUUAUCUAUUGUCUUUCAAGUCCACUCCACAUUCUAAGAUUGGUGGUAAUAAUAUCCAAAACCUUUUACAAUUGUAUGGAUGUAAUUAGCAACC